rnacentral:tRNA from 1 species
CGGCCCGUAGCUCAGCGGUGAGAGCGCCCGGCUGUAGACAGCCCCGGGGGCGACAUUGCCCAAAAAAGCCCCCGGACCUGUAACGGGCGGUCCCGGGUUCGAAUCCCGGCGGGCCGA